AGUGAACGCUGGCGGUAGGCCUAACACAUGCAAGUCGAACGGCAGCACAGUAAGAGCUUGCUCUUACGGGUGGCGAGUGGCGGACGGGUGAGGAAUACAUCGGAAUCUACUUUUUCGUGGGGGAUAACGUGGGGAAACUUACGCUAAUACCGCAUACGACCUACGGGUGAAAGCAGGGGAUCUUCGGACCUUGCGCGAUUGAAUGAGCCGAUGUCGGAUUAGCUAGUUGGCGGGGUAAAGGCCCACCAAGGCGACGAUCCGUAGCUGGUCUGAGAGGAUGAUCAGCCACACUGGAACUGAGACACGGUCCAGACUCCUACGGGAGGCAGCAGUGGGGAAUAUUGGACAAUGGGCGCAAGCCUGAUCCAGCCAUACCGCGUGGGUGAAGAAGGCCUUCGGGUUGUAAAGCCCUUUUGUUGGGAAAGAAAAGCAGCAGGUUAAUACCCCGCUGUUCUGACGGUACCCAAAGAAUAAGCACCGGCUAACUCCGUG
rnacentral:rRNA from 1 species